GAUGAAGAACGCAGCGAACUGCGAUAAGUAAUGUGAAUUGCAGAAUUCAGUGAAUCAUCGAGUCUUUGAACGCUCAUUGCGCCCCCUGGCAUUCCGGGGGGCAUGCCUGUCCGAGCGUCAUUGCUGCCCUUCAAGCCCGGCUUGUGUGUUGGGUCGUCGUCCCCCCCGGGGGACGGGCCCGAAAGGCAGCGGCGGCACCGCGUCCGGUCCUCGAGCGUAUGGGGCUUUGUCACCCGCUCGAUUAGGGCCGGCCGGGCGCCAGCCGGCGUCUCCAACCUUCUAUUUUACCAGGUUGACCUCGGAUCAGGUAGGGAUACCCGCUGAACUUAAGCAUAUCAAUAAGCGGAGGA
rnacentral:misc_RNA from 1 species